CUGGAGAAAUAAUGUGAGGGUUUUAUUGUUCUGAAUAAACAAUGAGAGGAAUUCAAAUCCCAAUGAGUAAUAAUAAGUGUAAGUUCAUAGCCUAGAUCUGUGGUCUUCCCUUGAGUCAGGAUGUUAACAAAAUGAACUCUUGGGUGUUGCAUUUCUGUACAGUGUGGUUCUGAGUCCUCUGAUUCUUAAACUUCUCCCUUUAGGCUGCGUAAGGGUCCCCACUUAGACUGUAUUGGAAUUCCCACUACUAGAAUCAGUUAACGGUGAACUGAAAUAGGCUCCACCGAGUGCAUAUGUUACCUUGGGAUUUCAGAUUAGUAUUAGGACAGCUCCUUGGCCCCCAUUCAUGCUCUGCUCCCGAGGGCACUGAGGUGGCCUGCUGUAGUUCCACACUGUACUCACCAUUGCCAGGUGAAGCCCUCACGAUGUUGGCUAUCCACAGACUAUAGUUUAAACGUUCCACCUCGUGGCCUUUGCCACAUCCUGGCCUCUCUCCAGGACAGUUCUAUGAUAGGACACUUGAGCUGAGGCCGCCUGCUUUCCUAACCGUCCUCAGAUGUUGUCCUGCCUGAGGGGUUUCCCUUCCACCUCCACCUUGUAAAGUCCCACCCCUCCCCAUGGAGGAACUGGGAUGCAAGGAGGAAUCGCCCCAUUUUCCUGCUAGACUUCUGACUAGGAGUACAGCACUCCUGCAUGGGGGCGUGCAGGUUUAUUAAGAUGUUCUUGAAAUAUUAUUUUUUCCUUUUGACCUUGGUUUCUGGAUUGAUUUAUCAGUUAAUAGAAUUAACUCUCCAAAAUCUCCAAUUUUGAAGAGGGAAGAGGAUAAUGAAUUACCUAAUAGAUGAAACUCAUUUCAUGUUUUCUGUGGCAUAUCCAAACCCAGAACCAUUUGGAGCAUUUCUCUGGGGGAAAAUGAACUGAAAGUGCCAAUUACAGAGUUUUCUACACUGUCCAGGACCCCUGGCCUUCCUACCAUUGAUCUGAAAGUUUAAUCAACCGUUUGAUGAAUGAGCAGAUUCCAUGUAUGGAGUCCCACAGUGUGCUGUGCCUCUCUGUCUGGGUUCUGGGUUUGCUGUGAUGAAUGGCCAGCUGUGAAUGGGUGAUGCUGCCAGCUCCGCGCAGACGUGUGAGUGAGGAGCUGCUUCGUCCUCCUCAGUCUGGGCUAGUUUGUUUAUGCUCUGGUUUCAGUUUUGUCUUAUAAGUACUAGAUGUUGGUGUCUACCUAAGAAAGUCACCAAUGAAUAAGAAAAGAGAUUCUUUUGGAAAGGAAUAUCCAGGGCCUGGGUGAAACAAGCAAAUUAGAUUCUUAGAGCCAAGAAAUGUUAAUAUUGAGGUUUAUAUUGGAGUAAAUUUUGCCUUGGAAAUAUUUUCUUUUCCUUUCAAAUGCUUAAAACAUUUUGGUUUUUAACGUACUUAUAGCCAACCUGUUUUGUUUUUUUUUUUUAAGAUUAAUAUUUAAAAGAACAGUUUAUUUUUUUCCACUUGGUCAUUGUUGACUAUUAGGUAGUUGGCUGGUUUGGCUUUUCUUUUGAAGCCAAAACUGGAGUUUUAAUUAGCUUAAUUUGAACCAGGCUAGAUUUUCUGAGCCUACGACUGUCCCCAUGUUUGAGGAAUGCACUUUGCAGUUUACGAAGCAACCGCUACACAGAGUUGGGAAAUCUUUCCUCCUCCUUUCCAGAAUCCACUCCAUGGUGGUUGUAAGUAUGUUAUGGGUGAGGGCAGGGCCGUGGUGCACAUUAGAUUCCACAGUGCAGUCUUCCCCAGUCUACAGCAGCGCUGCCUGAACGCAGAGGACGUGGGCAGCACCUUUAUGUCUCUGCUCUCCAUGGGGGACCAGCCCAAUUCCAGGAUGCCCGUCCAGGCUUGGGCUCAGCAGCCAUGGGGACGUCCACGCACUGAAACGGCUCCUUACAGGGACAGUUUAUUCAGAGAGUGGACAUGGGUUUGUGGCAGGAACAGUUCUUAACUUUUAACAUAUUUGCACCAUUGCUCUUUCCCCCUUAGUAGGACUCUGAAUUUAGAUUUGCUGCAAUAUUUAGAGAAAUCUUCUAGCUCCUGAUCUAGUUUUGAUUCAUCUUUCUGGAGGCAUUGGAGGAGACUGGAAGUUGGCAUUGGGGUCAGGAGCCGUUAACAUUUUCAGCCGUGACCAAGAGACCAGAGAUGGCGUCUCAUCUGAAGGAAAGUGCGCAGGAGACACAGAACUAACUUCCCUCAAGGCCCUUUCACCUUGUUCUUCAACCACUUCUUCAAAGUUCUAAUUUCUAAAACUCAAGAGAAGGUGUAAAAAUCCAUCUACGCAGACUCAGAGGAGAAUUGGAACACUUCCAGAUGGAAGAAAUUCAGUCACAGACACGUGAAGUUUUGACCUUGCUGUGAGAAUUCAGGAUGUGAAUAAAACACUCCAGAGGAUUAAAAACAUGAUUUUUCCUGUUUUUAUCGUAAUUCCCUGGGAGACUAGAUUUAACACCUUGGAGAAGGGAGGUUCUAGAGUGGAUGCCGUCGUGAUGUAAUAACUGCGGUGCUGCUCGCUGGCUCCCCCGGCCCCGCUUCAGCACCUUUAUCUAUAGGUUCUGUGACGUUGCUCUAGGCUGGUGUGGGGAGACCCCCUAUAGGAGGAAUCCGAUGAUGUUGUGCUAGAGAUGCUGAGGUAGCAGGGUUUCUUCCUCUUUGGUGGUUCCAGAAACGUUCUGCCAGAGUUAGGUGGGAAGCAGAAUUAGGAAAAAAAUGACAGAGGCUGGACUUUUUGCAGAACAGCUAAGGAAGGCUUUAUGAAGUGAAGAUUUAGCGAAGGGAUUCAGAAAACUCAUCACAAUCUGUUAGAGUUCGUCUGGUUCAUAUUAAAACAAUAAAUAUUAUUUAGUCCA